AAAACUACGUCUACUUUCGAUUUAUCUACUGUCACCUAAAAUGAACAAACACGAAUGGGAUAUAAUUCGAAGAAACAGGGUUUUUAUUCAUAAGAAUGUCUCUAAUAUCAACGAAGUUGCCGAUUUACUUUAUGAAAAGGGGAUUCUGACUUUGAACCAGAAAGAAUGUGUCGCGUCCCAGCCAGUUGACAGAAGAGCAUAUGAGAUGCUUGACAUAGUGGUGAAGAGAGGACCGCGGGCCUUCCCUUGUCUGGUGGAGGCUCUACGCGAAACUGAAAAUCCAGCGGCAGCUAAUCAAUUGGAGGGAAAUGCUGGAUCCACCACUGAUCCAAACAAAACCAAAACAUACACAAAGCCAGACCCUCCCAAUAAACUCCCCACACACCACCAAGGGGUACCACCAUCAGAGGACAACAGUUCAUAUGUUGAAUGGAUGGAUGAUGUAGAAUUGACUAAACUUGAAGACAACUUUAUUCGUACUGAUCCCAAGUUUGUGAUGGAGAUGAAAAAACUUCACAAUGAACAUAUGUACAAUAUGACAGGAGAUAAGAGUAAGCGUGGGAAGUGUUUGAUGAUAGACAGUAUCCCAAAUGACUUCUGUCAGCAGGGAGAAUGUCACACCAUUGUUGACUCCAGUAAAACUCUGAUACACCAAACCCUCAAACAAUGUGGCUUCAAGUGUAUCUACUACACCCGGAAUAGUGGAACCUCUCAGACAAUAAAACAGAAGAUACUUCAGGAGAUGAACAAGCCGGACCAUGUACAGUACUCCUCCUUUCUUGUGAUAUGUGUGACCACUGGCCCUAAUCCACAAUACAUAUAUGGCAAAGAUGGAGAGAAGGAUUGCUUGCCAAUCCAGGAAAUACAGGACAUGAUGUCACAAUGUGAAGCAUUUAGUAACAAGCCAAAGAUAUUAAUGGUUCAUACUGUGCCAGAGUCAAGCUUGAAAUGUGAUCACAGCUUCCCAUUGGCUAAAGACAGGGAUCAAAGGUUAAGUGACUCCAUGCAGUACCUGACUUUGGAAGGGGAGGACACCAGUUCACUGAAUGGUGGGGACCUGUUUGUUGUGUCUGUGCGACUAGAACCAGGUAUUAGUUUCCUGGUCAAAAUUCGAGGUAAGACAGGAGCGUAUUUCAGUAAUGCAUUAGUCUAUGUGUUGCUGAAGCAUGCUGCCAACCGAUCCUUUCUGGAAAUGACAAAAGAGGUAAGCCACUAAGAGUGAGACUGAUAUCUGUACAAGACUGUAGACUCGUCACUCAGGUGAUGUUGUGAUUUCAGAUGGAUAGGUUGUUUGAGUCUUGUGAGUAUGAGGGUGAGGACAGUGUGGAGGCCAAUCCCUACAACAAGCGAGUUCAUCGGCGAGUGAGAGUGGCUCGACUGACCAUCCUGACAAAGCCGGAGAAAGAACUCUUUCUUUUCCCCCAAUAUGAAGACACAGGAACACAGGUGUCUGGUUAGGUCUAGGAGAGCGAGUACCUCAUAAUGUAUGCUCGGAAAUCAGAGGAAACACACUGGAAACAGAUAUGAAAUUACAUAUAUUGGUGUAAAACAGGGAGAGCCAUUCAAUCCUGUGUUCUAACAGCCUGGCAGCCUCAGUAUCAAAUCCUGACCUUCUUCUGUAGACUUUAUAAACUGUGAUAAUUUCAUUUAGACUUUUAAGUUUUAAUCUGUAGUAUUUUUCCUCAUUAUUUGUAAAUUUCAUGUCAACAUACUAAUAAUGAAUACUCCACAUGAUAUUGAGUGUGUGUCUCUCUGUUUUAUUCUUCUGCAUGUGGAUACAGGUGGAUAGACUAGAUCUCAUUUUUCACCUGAUGUCCUAUCCAACUUGGUACCAGUUUAUGGCACUUAAAAAAUUAUAUUUAUUAUGUAAAAACGAUGGACAAUUUACCAAGGGAACUUAUUUUCACAAACUAUAAAGAAAAAUGCUGGGUUAAACAAAAUGCAUGUAAUAUAAAAUGGAUAUUUCAAUCAAAAAAUGUAUUUGAACUAGAAUCAUAUAUAGCCUUCGACAUGAAAUUUUUUUGAAAAUUUGAUGUAUAAUACUUCUUUAUGUGUGGUAGAAAUAAAAAAAAAGGAAGCUU
rnacentral:misc_RNA from 1 species